CAGUUUGUGGGGGUGGCCAUGAAAAAGUGCAUCACCCCCUGAUUGGGGCCUUUGUUUGGGUGAUUUUUUAACAGCUCACACCUGCUCAAAGCUGAGGACAGGACGUUACUCUGAGUUGCUUCCAGUGCCUGGGAAGCCUCCACCAAACCACCAAUUCCUUCAGCUGAUAUUGAAGAAUUGAAGAAUUAAUUGAAGAAUUAAUUGAGGAACUAAUUGAAGAAUUAACUCCUGCACCCUGCAAAGCAAAAUUCAGGGUGGAGGGAUCUGCCCAGGGUUGGAUUUCUGCCUGCCAGACAAAGACCUGACAGCAUUUGUGGUGAAAUAAUCUGCUCUGUUUGCAGACUGGAGGAGAAAUCCUUUCUGUACAGCUGGGCUCCUUUUGUAUGUGUGAAACUACUGCUACUCCCACUGAAGUUUUCUCCUGAAAGGCAGAGUUAAAGUGCAGUGGAAAUUGGUGGAGCAAAGAUGCAGCUUUUCCCC
ensembl:lncRNA